CAGUCGCCGCGGGAAUACGAAGGGUGCAAGCGUUACUCGGAAUUACUGGGCGUAAAGCGUGCGUAGGUGGUGGUUUAAGUCCGUUGUGAAAGCCCUGGGCUCAACCUGGGAAUUGCAGUGGAUACUGGGUCACUAGAGUGUGGUAGAGGAUAGUGGAAUUUCCGGUGUAGCAGUGAAAUGCGUAGAGAUCGGAAGGAACAUCUGUGGCGAAGGCGACUAUCUGGGCCAACACUGAUACUGAGGCACGAAAGCGUGGGGAGCAAACAGGAUUAGAUACCCGUGUAGUCCCUGUCUCUUAUAC
rnacentral:rRNA from 1 species